AAAGCUUUUGCGGUUUGGGAUGGGCCUGCGUCCUAUCAGGUAGUUGGUGAGGUAAAUGCUCACCAAGCCUAUGACGGGUAGCUGGUCUGAGAGGAUGGUCAGCCAGACUGGGACUGCGACACGGCCCAGACUCCUACGGGAGGCAGCAACUAGGAAUUGUGCGCAAUGGACGAAAGUCUGACGCCGCGACAUCGCGUGGAGGAUGAAGGUCUUCGGAUUGUAAACUCCUUUUCUUACCGAACAAGUUCUGAGUGUAGGUAAGGAAUAAGUGCCUGCUAACCACGUGCCAGAAGCAUCGGUAAUACGUGGGGCACGAGCGUUAUCCGGAUUUACUGGGCGUAAAGAGAAGCGUAGGCGGCUCAAUAAAGUUUGGUGUUAAAUCUUCCGGCUCAACCGGAAACAAGCACCGAAAACUAUCGAGAUUGAGUCGAGUAGGGAAGAGGGGAAUUCCUGGUGGAGCGGUUAAAUGCGUAGAUAUCAGGAGGAAUACCAAGGGCGAAGGCACCUCUUUGGACUCGUACUGACGCUGAGGCUCGAAAGCGUGGGUAGCAAAACGGAUUAGAUACCCGUGUAGUCCACGCCGUAAACGAUCCCUGUUAGAUGU
rnacentral:rRNA from 1 species